UGGUCUUGAUCUCUUGACCUCGUGAUUCGCCCGUCUCAGCCUCCCAAAGUGCUGGCAUUACAGGUGUCAGCCACCGUGCCUGGCCCAACCGUUUUUUCCAUAGUCUGCUGUCUUAUUGUUACAGGAUCUCCAAGCUAAUAUCCCUUAUGCCUGCUGCCUAGGUUUCUCCAGUCUUCUGCCUGCUUUCUUUUGAGUGGACAGCCUUGUUUCUGUGAAGCUCACUGCCACACGGUCUCUUUCUAGUUCCAUGAUGGGCUCUCUGUGGCCAUGUGGUUGUUAAAUGCUCACAGCUACUGCCCUCCUGGCAGGACUAAGAACUUCUGGCCUCUCCACCAUCCAGAGCUAAUGUCUGGCCCAGCGCAGAGAACCCAAGACCUUGCCCAGCGCCAGGGUGGGUGUCCCUCUGACUGGCUGUUGAAUGUCACCUCUGUAUCCUCUCUGCUGUGCCAGAGUCCCAUGGCCACCCACAGGGCAGUAAAUUUGAAAGAGUGCUCCACGACUCGGCACACUGUGCUGUUUGCAGCUAUCAUUGACUACAGUGAGAGGAGGCAGGAGUGUUGGCGCAGGGAAGGGGGCCGGGGCAGAGUCCAGGGGGAACCAGUCCCAGCACCUUCACACGGGAGGCACUUGGCUGUCCUAGCAUUAUGUGACACAGGGUCUUUAGUGGGGCUGCCCCAUUGGCAGGUGCUGCUUGGUGCGGACCACGCUGUCAGACUCCUAGGAGGCAAGCAGGGGGUCAGCAUAAAGCACGUUUGUGCAAACAGUUCAGGUGCAGAGAGCCUUGUAUCACUCUAGGAGUGGUGGGAGCCCUCCCCAAAUCCAAGUUCCCAGACAAGCUAUGAGCAGGCCAUAGAGGUGGCUUGGUUCUGCUGUGACAACUCACCCGCAAUCUCCAGUGCCUGCUGCUCUAUUCCUUUUCCCCCACUCCCCCACCAACUUUACCCCAGGAAGAGGCCCUCUCUCCUUGAGGCCUGGGCUAAGCCUCUGACCUGCCCAGAGGCCUCAUGUUGGUUGUUGGCUGCCAGUUGCAGGGCCCCUGGCCACACUGAAGGACUCCUACCUGGAGGUGAUGCUGCAGCCCCUAAAGGAGAUAUGGGAGUGGGCAGAGGAGGCCAUGUGGUGGCUGCAGAUCUGGGUGCCCGGGAUGCCAGGCAACGGGGGUCCCAGGCCCAUCAGGAUGGCCCUGGGGUCCGGGAAAGCUGCCCUGGAGCUGGUGAGUGAGAACAAGAAUGGGGCGUGGCUGGCAGUUGAGGACAACUGAGACAGCUCUCACUAUCCCCUCCCUCUCCAAGUGGCCCACCAGAUGCUGUCCUGGGCUGAGGCCAUGUUCUCACGGGCACAGAAGAGGCUCUGCAAACCCCUGCUGGACCUGUAUGGCCUCACAGCCAGACCAUGCCCUGGUGCCCUGGGCCCAGCACGUGGUGACUUUUGACAGCCGGGUGUGAAACCUCAGCAUCCAGUGCAGCAGCAUCCUCCUGGCCCAAGACUUUGCUCACAACACAUUCUCCCUGAUGCUGAUUCGGACAGGCUUGGGGCUCAUGGCCCUGACCGUGGAGCUGAACCAUGUGACCCUCAUCUUCUACCCCAGCCUGCAGGCCUACAGGCUAUACAGCUCCUACCUGCUGGGGGAGAGCUGUCCAGACCUCCAGCUGCCACCUGCCCUGACAAGGAGGGAUGUCCCCAGGAUUGAGCUGGCCAGUGAGGACAAAGUCUGUCUCCUGUGAUGUGCCCACCAGCCCCUGCAGCCUGACUCUGGGCCUCUGGCACCACGGUGAGUCUGGGCCCCGGCAGGGUUGGCUCCACCAGCAAGAGCCUCUCUGGGAUGCACCAUUCUCAGCUUCCAGUGGGACAGGUCCCCGGGCUGUAGGCAGGGACUGUGGUUGAGAUGAUGGCACUGAGGCCCAGGGCUUUCUGCCCCCAUCCCUGGGAUAUGUGGCUCCCUGGGAUAAGGGUGAAAUGGGCCCUUCUCUGGUCCCUCUGCCAAGGAACAUAAAGGGUGGGCCUGGAUUCUGGCCACUCAAGCUGAGGCCGUGGGGAGGGGAUGGGAGGGACACAUGCUGUCCUCAGUCCCUGUGCUUUCUCUCCCUCCUUUGAUGAGGGUAUGGAGCCAGAGCCCUGGGCUCUGGGAGUCUGGGGUGGAGGUGGCAGGAUUCUACCUCUUCUCAGUGUGCCUAAGGCUUGUCUCUCAUACAGGUCCCCAGGGGGAGGAUCACGGGCUCUCAGGACCUCCUCAGCUUCCCUUCUUCCCACAGGUAUAUCUGCUGGCCUUCUGGGCACCAACAACAAAUAAGUCAGGCAAUGAGCUGAUGUUGUCAGAUGGCUCUGUGGCCCACAGCCUGGAGAAGCUCAUCCUGGCCUGGCAGGUGAGCAGGUGCACCUGCCCUUCCUCCCUCUGGCUGAGGCUCUUGAGGGCUGCUCACUGCAGAGUCCCAGGAUAGGCAGGUGGCCUGCUGGCUCUGCAGCGGUCUUUGCAGACCCAGGGUUGGGGGGAGUCUCCUGCUGAGGCUGAUGUAUGUGGGGGAGCCACAUGGUCCAACGGGAGGCCUGAGUCUUGCGUCUGUCCCACCAGGUGGAUGGUGACUGCAAGGCCACCGAGAAGACUCAGCUGACCUGCCCAGGACAGAGCCCUGCCUGCCAGGCCUUCUUCCAGGACCUCCAUUCCAGCUUGAGGAACUGCUUCCGGGUGGUGGACCCUGAACCAUUCCUCAGCCUGUGUGUGCAGGACCCCUGUGGCACCCAGGAACUCCAGCCUGCUUGCAAUCUGGCGGCCACCUACAUCCACCUGUGUGCCUGCAACUUCGGAUCCCUGGCCCAUCCUCCACAGUGUGUUUGAGAUUUCAUCUAAGCCAGCCCUAGGCUGCUAAAUACUUCAAACUCUUCACCUUCUACUCUAAUUCCAGCUCCUUAACAAGGGCAAGAUUCUGGCUGGGACAGAAUAACCAGCAUGGAAUGCUAAGAAACUCAGAACAGCAUGUGUUACAAAUGCAGGGAAGAAGAGCUAUUUGCCAUUGUGCUCAAAAUACUUCUGAGGACAUACAACUCUCCCACUGGUCUGGGUAAUUUCCCCGCUUCCUCCACAUCUCCACUGUAAACUGAGAGACAGCGCAGCCAGUGAGUCCCAGCCCUGCAGAAAGAGCUCUACCCAGCUCCUGUUCAAGCCCAAGGUAUUUAUUCACUUAUUCAACAGCCAUGUGGGAAGCCACUGAUUCAGAACGCUAACUGUGCAGAGGGGGACAGGAAGCCAGGUCCUCAGCUCCCUGGUCCUAGCUUUCCUUGCCUGAUCCAGGGAUCUCCUGAGGCAGGAAGUUCUUUGAGGGGAACUGAUAGCUCUUCAGAAGCCCAGGCAGAGAGCUGCUGUCUUUAGGGUAGACACACUGGGACUGAGUCCUUUGGAGGGCCUCUGUUUUGGUAGGUGCACCUGUGAACUCAGCCCCCAGGCUACAGCAUUCAAAGUGUUUUUUUUUUGUUUGUUUUUGUUUUUUGUUUUUUUGUUUGUUUGUUUUACUUUCUUUUGGAACAUAACCUUUUCCUUUGAGUUUUCAACUGAAAAAGCAGAAUCCAAGAAUGUGUCUCUGGAUUGCUGGGGCUGAUCAUCCACUCAAGGAGAUGGGGAGAUGUGGGCAGCUAUGGAAUCUUCUCACUGAUAGAGGGUGCCCUUGAGCAUUAUUUGGGCUGAGCCUUUGGUAGGCGAUUGUAGGAUCCAGAUUCCAGAGCAAAGGGCCAGGUGUCAGCCACGGGGACUGAGGCAAGCUGAAGGCCAGACACCAGACUUGGCUGUCCCUGGCCUCCCCACCCAUGAAUCCCUGGUGCACAGCAGGUGCUAGAUGAAGCUUGGAAGAAAGAACUCCAGGAUAAAUGGAAACAAGAAGGUUGGUCCUCCACAUUCCCAAGCUGGAGGGAAGAGAAGGGAGGGUGGCUGGGAUCUGAGUGUUUGCUAUGGUUACAGCCCAAAGACCUAGAGCCCAGGCACUGCUCCUGGUGCCUUGAAAGAUGUUUGAUCUUAAGCCUUACAGUAGUCCAAUGAGGAAUAGAUGAUCUCCUUAAUAAGGGAAGAAGCAAAGGCUCAGAGAGUUGAGGGGAUUCCCCCAAGGUCAUAUAACCUACAAAUGGCCAGGACGGUGCUGAUGCGGGCCUGUCUGCCUCCCAAUGCUGCUGAAGCUCAAUCACCCCCCACCACUUCUGCUUUUGCAAUAAUAGCCUUAUGCCACAUAUUCUACCAGUUACUUUAUGAAAGAAAGUCAAGUAAACUUUGGCCAUUUCCCAAGCCAUAAUAGGUAGCUCCUGUUCAAAACACCCUGUAAAUCAGGUCAUGCAAGAUCAGAUAUGCACCUACAACUGUUACAGGUGCUGUGCUAGCCACUGUUUUGGGGAACUCGGCCUAGGAAUAUGAGUGAAGAGACAACUCACAAAGAAAAGCAAAUCACUGGCAUGCAGGGGGCCCUGAGAAAUUCAGAGUCAGAUGCAACCAGAGUGAGCAGCCACCUGAACCUGCUGGUUUCCCAAUAUGCUUAAUGGAUCCAUGAUGUGGGGUCCACAAAGGAAAUGCGGAAGUCUUCCCUUCCUGCCUCCCACACUCUGUGGGUCAAGUAUUUCCCAAAAACACAGCAGUGGACUGGACACCAGCAGAGAUACAAAGAGGGAAAAACAGUUCUCCCUUCUCAAGGCAGGUUGGACAACAUCAAUAUUUUGCAGUUAGGAGGUGCAGGUGGAGUCUG